ACGAACGCUGGCGGGCGUGGAUAAGACAUGCAAGUUCGGACGCUGAUUAGAGGGUAGCAAUAUUCUCUAGUUCGGAAGUGGCGCAAGGGUGCGUAACACGUGGGUAAUCUGCCGUGAAGACUGGGAUAACUCGCUGAAAGGCGAGCUAAUACCGGGGUAAAGACUGUUGGGAGGCAUCUCCUGACAUUGGAAAGCUGGGGACCGAAAAGGCCUGGCGCUUCACGAUGAGCCCGCGGCCUAUCAGCUAGUUGGUGAGGGUAACGGCUCACCAAGGCUAAGACGGGUAGCUGGUCUGAGAGGACGACCAGCCACACUGGAACUGAGACACGGUCCAGACACCUACGGGUGGCAGCAGUCGAGAAUUUUUCACAAAUGGGCGGCAAGCCUGAUGGAGCGACCGCCGCGUGGGGGAUGAAAGGGUUUCGAUCCGUAAAACCCCUGUCAUUUGCGAACAAACCUUAUGCAAUAAACACUGCAUGAGCUGAUUGUAGCGGAAAGAGGAAGGGACGGCUAACUCUGUGCCAGCAAGCCGCCGGGUAAUACAGAGGUCCCAAGGCGUUGUUCGGAUUCACUGGGCGUGGUAAAAGGGUGCGUAGGUGGCUGGCGUGGAAGUUCGGUGUGAAAGCUCCGGAGCUCAACCUCCGAAUGGCAUUGAAUACUCUACGGCCUCGAGGGUCCGGAGGGUGAGACUGGAAUUCUCGGUUUUUGUGUAGCAGUGAAAUGCGUAGAUAUCGAGAGGGAACACCAGUGGCGAAGGCGAGUCUCUGGGACGAACUCCUGACACUGAGGCACGAAAAGCCUAGGGUGAGCAAAACAGGAUUUAGAUACCCCUGGUAGUCCCUAGCUGUAAAACGGGUUGCACGUUUUGCUGUGAGAGGAAUCGACCCCCUGUUCGUGGGCGAAGGCUAACGCGCUAAACGUGCCGCCUGGGGAGUACGGUCGCAAGAUUAAAACUCAAAGAAAUUGACGGGGCCUAUGCACAAGCGGGUGGAGUAUGUGGGGCUUAAUUCGAUUGCAAACGCGAAGAACCUUUACCUGGCCUUGACAUGCACGUAGUAGGGAGCGUGAAAAGGCGUAACGAACCCGCAAGCGGUAGCGUGCACAGGUGCUGCAUGGCUGUCGUCAGCUUCGUGUUCGUGAGAUGUUGGGUUUAAGUCCCGCAACGAGCGCAACCCCCUAUCACUAGUUUGCCAUCAGGUAACGCUGGGAACUCCUAGUGAAACUGCCGUCGUUAAAGACGCGAGGAAGGAGGGGGAUGAUGUCAAAGUCAUCAUGGCCUUUAAUGCCCAGGGCUACACACGUGCUACAAUGGGGGCGCCUACAAAGGGCUGCCACUUGGCAGGACAAGGAGCUAAUUCCCAAAAAAGCGCUCUCAGUUCAGAUUUGCAGUUCUGCAACUCGACUGCAUGAAGCUGGAAUCGCUAGUAAAUCGUUAUAUCAGCAAUUGAUACGGUGAAUACGUUUUCCCGGACCUUGCACAACACACCGCCCGUCAAGCCAUUGGAAAGCCGGGUGUAACCUGAAGUCGGCGAACCGCAAGGAGCUGCCUAGGGUAAAAAUCGGUUGACUGGGGCGUAGUCUC
rnacentral:rRNA from 1 species